UGCCAGCCGCCGCGGUAAUACGGAGGGGGUUAGCGUUGUUCGGAAUUACUGGGCGUAAAGCGCACGUAGGCGGAUCAGAAAGUAUGGGGUGAAAUCCCAGGGCUCAACCCUGGAACUGCCUCAUAAACUCCUGGUCUAGAGUUCGAGAGAGGUGAGUGGAAUUCCGAGUGUAGAGGUGAAAUUCGUAGAUAUUCGGAGGAACACCAGUGGCGAAGGCGGCUCACUGGCUCGAUACUGACGCUGAGGAACGAAAGCAUGGGUAGCAAACAGGAUUAGAUA
rnacentral:rRNA from 1 species